AGGGUAAAAAGGCAGAGGGGGUUCAAAGUCAGGGCAAGAAAGGGGAAGGGUCCCAGAAUCAGGGCAAAAAGGGGGAUGGAAAUCCCAACCAAGGCAAGAAGGGGGAGGGGGCUCCCAACCAGAACAGAAAGACAGAUACAGUUGCUAAUCAGGGCACAAAGACAGAGGGUGUCUCAAACCAGGUGAAAAAGUCAGAGGGGUCCCCCAAUCAGGGAAAAAAGGCAGAGGGAGCCCCAAAUCAAGGCAAAAAGGUAGAAGGAUCCCCCAACCAGGCCAAAAAAGUGGAUGCAGCUGCCGGUCAGGGUAAAAAGUCGGAGAUGACUCCUGCUCAGGGUAAAAAUGCAAGCAUGGUCCAGAGCCAGGAGGCACCAAAGCAAGAGGCACCUGCAAAGAAGAAGUCAAAGAAAAAAGGAGAGCCUGUGUGCUGAUAUUUUAUUCUUCAAAAAUUGGAAGCAACCCUGAAGAAGGCAUUGGCUCUUGUGGCUGUGACAGCGCCCCCUGACGUUGGAAACACCUGUGUGGAAGGCCUUCGAUAUCAUUCUCCUUGGUGCAAGGCCACAUGGGACAGAAAUCCUAAUGAGAUGUUGCAGUAGAUAAUUUCUCAUUAAAAUUCUUAUUUAAUGGCCUUUUGAAAUUACUGUAGGGGCAUAAAAUUGGGUCUUGAUAUAUUUUAUUAAAUGCUGUAUUCCUUAUCCCCCAAAGAAUAAAGCAAUAAUGAUAACAUCCAAAUGCUG
rnacentral:lncRNA from 1 species